rnacentral:rRNA from 1 species
AACGAACGCUGGCGGCAGGCUUAACACAUGCAAGUCGAGCGCCCCGCAAGGGGAGCGGCAGACGGGUGAGUAACGCGUGGGAAUCUACCGUGCCCUACGGAAUAGCUCCGGGAAACUGGAAUUAAUACCGUAUACGCCCUACGGGGGAAAGAUUUAUCGGGGUAUGAUGAGCCCGCGCUGGAUUAGCUAGUUGGUGGGGUAAAGGCCUACCAAGGCGACGAUCCAUAGCUGGUCUGAGAGGAUGAUCAGCCACAUUGGGACUGAGACACGGCCCAAACUCCUACGGGAGGCAGCAGUGGGGAAUAUUGGACAAUGGGCGCAAGCUUGAUCCAGCCAUGCCGCGUGAGUGAUGAAGGUCUUAGGAUUGUAAAGCUCUUUCACCGGUGAAGAUAAUGACGGUAACCGGAGAAGAAGCCCCGGCUAACUUCGUGCCAGCCGCCGCAGUAAUAC